rnacentral:rRNA from 1 species
GAUGAACGCUGGCGGCGUGCCUAAUACAUGCAAGUCGAGCGAACUUUUGGGAGCUUGCUCCCAAAAGUUAGCGGCGGACGGGUGAGUAACACGUGGGUAACCUGCCUGUAAGACUGGGAUAACUUCGGGAAACCGGAGCUAAUACCGGAUAACAUCGAAGACCACAUGGCCCUCAAUUAAAAGGUGGCUUUUAGCUACCACUUACAGAUGGACCCGCGGCGCAUUAGCUAGUUGGUGAGGUAACGGCUCACCAAGGCGACGAUGCGUAGCCGACCUGAGAGGGUGAUCGGCCACACUGGGACUGAGACACGGCCCAGACUCCUACGGGAGGCAGCAGUAGGGAAUCUUCCGCAAUGGACGAAAGUCUGACGGAGCAACGCCGCGGGAGCGAAGAAGGCCUUCGGGUCGUAAAGCUCGGUUGUUAGGGAAGAACAAGUAUCGUUCGAAUAGGGCGGUACCUUGACGGUACCUAACCAGAAAGCCACGGCUAACUACGUG